GGCCCGUUGGUCAAGCGGUUAAGACGUUAGCCUCUCACGCUGAAAUCAUGGGUUCGAUUCCCGUACGGGUCACCA
rnacentral:tRNA from 1 species